rfam:Brachypodium distachyon strain Bd21 chromosome 4, whole genome shotgun sequence.
UUGUUACUCCCUCUGUCCCAUAAUUCUUGUCGAAAUAUUACAUGUAUCUAGACGCUUUUUAGGAAUAGAUACAUCCAUAUUUGGGCAAAUUUGAGACAAGAUUUUGGGACGGAGGGAGUAUAUA